rnacentral:rRNA from 1 species
GUUAAGCGACUAAGCGUACACGGUGGAUGCCCUGGCAGUCAGAGGCGAUGAAGGGCGUGCUAAUCUGCGAUAAGCGCCGGUAAGGUGAUAUGAACCGUUAUAACCGGCGAUACCCGAAUGGGGAAACCCAGUGUGAUUCGUCACACUAUCAUUAACUGAAUCCAUAGGUUAAUGAGGCGAACCGGGGGAACUGAAACAUCUAAGUACCCCGAGGAAAAGAAAUCAACCGAGAUUCCCCCAGUAGCGGCGAGCGAACGGGGAGGAGCCCAGAGCCUGAAUCAGCAUGUGUGUUAGUGGAAGCGUCUGGAAAGGCGCGCGAUACAGGG